UACGGGGGGGGCAAGCGUUGUUCGGAAUUACUGGGCGUAAAGGGCUCGUAGGUGGCCAACUAAGUCAGACGUGAAAUCCCUCGGCUUAACCGGGGAACUGCGUCUGAUACUGGAUGGCUUGAGUUUGGGAGAGGGACGCGGAAUUCCAGGUGUAGCGGUGAAAUGCGUAGAUAUCUGGAGGAACACCGGUGGCGAAGGCGGCCCUCUGGACGGAUACUGACGCUGAGGCGCGAAAGCGUGGGGAUCAAACAGG
rnacentral:rRNA from 1 species